UUUGAGAGAAAGAGGUAAAUAGGGCUGAGGUGGAAGUGCUGCAAAGCAUGCAGCUGACAGCUACUAAUCGGUCGAGGGCUUAUCCAU
rnacentral:ncRNA from 1 species